rnacentral:tRNA from 1 species
AUAAAUCUAGUUUAAGCAAAACAUUAACGUGUGGAGUUAAUAAUUCUUUAAUAUUAAUAU